rnacentral:tRNA from 1 species
ACAGAUGUGCCGAAAUUGGAAUACGGGGUGGCGUUAGGUGCCAAAGAGUUAACACACUCGUGUAGGUUCGAGUCCUACCAUCUGUA